rnacentral:lncRNA from 1 species
CUCUUGUGUUCUUUGAUCAUCUUCCACUUCCUGGAAUUGCUUGAUGAGUUCAAAGGCCCUUCACAGUGAGCUCAGAUCAGGACAAAGUGCACACAUGUCUCUUAGUGAAGCAUCUAUCCCAGCUGGCUCACAUCCCAAGAGAAGCGAAUGAGCUCUUCCCCUACACGAGGCCCCAAAAUUAGAGAGCGGUGAUGAGCAGCUCUGUUGCAGAUCAUACCCCUGGAUACCUUCAAGAAAAAAAGCAUCUGUUUGGCCUUGAAUUAAGUUAUUUGGUCUCUGAUUGUUGCUCUGCACCUCUCCCUGCACAAAACCCCGGAGAAAGGGAAGCAAACAUUGGCUCCCAGAGAACUGGCACGUACUCGGAAGUGAAGAUGCUCCUUGAUUCAUGAUUGGGUUACAUCCUAAUAAAUCCAUUAGAGACAGAGCCUCACUCUGUCACCCAGGCUGGAGUACAGUGGCAUGAUCAUGGCCUACUGAAGCCUCAAGAGAUUUCUGGGCUGAAGAGAUCCUCCCAUCUCAGCCUCCUGAGUAGCUGGGACUACAGGUGAGCACCACCUCAUCCAGCUAAUUUUUAAAUUUUUCUUUUCAUAAGACAGGGUCUCACUUUGUUGCCCAGGCUGGUCUCAAAUGCCUGACUUCAAACAAUCCUCCUGCUUUGGCCUCCCAAAAUGCUGGGAUUACAAGAGUGAGCCCCCACCCGCUGUCAUGACUGCAUUUUAAAAUGCUCAGGUGCUGUACAAAUGAAAAGGAUAAACAUUAUUUUUCUUUUGUAGUAUUGUUAAACAUGUAUAUCACUUUUUUAAAAUGUUUUGAAGAACCUUCAUGCCUGUGGUCCUAUAGAGUGUCAUGAGAGCCCUGGGAAGUAAAUUAGGCAUCAAGUUAACUGGUAAGAAAACUGAGAUAAGAGAGGUUGUGUGAUCUGCGCAAGGUUGUUCAGCAAAACUAAGACUGGAUCCCAGGACUGUUAAAUCAAAAGCAGUGAUUCUUAGCCAGGCACAGUGGCUCACGCCUGUAAUCCCAGCACUUUGGGAGGCCGAGGCGGGCAGACGGUUUGAGCUCAGUAGUUCAUAGACCAGCCUGGGCAACAUGGCAAAACCCCACCUCUACAAAAAUAUAUAUAUAUUAAAAAUUAGCCAGUCAUGGUGGCACGCACCUAUAGUCC